rnacentral:rRNA from 1 species
CACGGGGGGAGCAAGCGUUGUUCGGAAUCACUGGGCGUAAAGGGCGUGUAGGCGGUCAAGUAAGUGGAAUGUGAAAUCCCCCGGCUUACCCGGGGACCGGCAUCCCAUACUGCUUGGCUUGAGUACGGGAGAGGAUGUGGGAAUUCCUGGUGUAGCGGUGAAAUGCGUAGAUAUCAGGAGGAACACCUGUGGUGUAGACGGCUUUCUGGACCGUAGCUGACGCUGAGACACGAAAGCGUGGGUAGCAAACAGG